rnacentral:piRNA from 1 species
UUGGAAUGAGACCCACUUGGACUGGUGU